ACCUGGCAGAAACAUAACAGAAGAGGUACAGGGCAGUGCAGGAUGUCCUAUGGGAUGGGAGAGCCAGCUAGAGUUGGAUGACAAAAAGUAGGAAGAGGAAAAAUACUUGUACAAGCCUGGCUGAAUGGAGUAUCAAAUGUACCACUAUACCUUUGAGAUGAACACACCAGGCUCUUGGAUCCCAAAUGGGUGGCUGGAAUGGUCAGAGCCUCCAACAAUACUCAGCCCCAGAGGCCCACCAGCCUUCACCAGGGAAACUUCCUGGAGAUAUUGAAGAGGCAAGGAAGAAAUUAUGAUGGGAAUGGUCAGGACUUCCAGGGGAAGAUUAAGGAAAUGGCUGGAUUCUGAGGGAUAAGGACAACCUCCAAGAAGGGUCAAGCCAAAACUCAAGCAUGCUGGCCCCAAGGGAGAGGCCUCUGCUCAUGUGAAGCAUGGGGGCCAUUGCUACAGCCUGUUGGGGCUAGCUCCCCCUCUCCAUCCCCUGACAGCCCCUGAAGCAAGGCCACCACAGCCUCAGGCCUGGGCAGCUUGGUAAUUUUAAAGUGCUUCUUGUAAUGAGGGGUAUCUUUCCGGAUCAGCCUUUGCCUCUCCCCAGGUGGGGGUCGCAGUUCCUCAGCUUCAUCUUCAUCUUCACUUCGUACCAACGUGUCCUCUGCAAAGUGCACAGUGGGCUGUAAAAUGACCAAAAAUGUGAAACCUAACUCUGGGACCACAACAACUAUCCUCUUUUGCCUCUUGAUCAUGCGAGUCUCCCCUGAUAUUGCUCCCCUUGAAGUCAUGGGGAUUAGUUGAGUUGAGAAGUAAUCCUCAAAUGUUCCUUUCCCUUCCUUAACCUCUAAACACUACAAUCUCUUCCACCACAAAAAUUUCAGGUUUAUACUUUCCACAAUAAACCAGAAUUUAUUACUUA